GAUUCAGAGGGAAACGAAGACCCUGUUGAGCUUGAUUCUAGUCCGAGUUUGUGGAACGAUUUGGGAGUGUAGCAUAGGUGGGAGCUUCGGUGAUCGUGAAAUACCACUACCUUCAGUAUCGUUUUACUUAUUCCGUUAGUUUGCGACGCAUGCUCGGCAUGUGUUUUAGUCUUAAGGUGCCUUUUUGGCGCUGAUCAAUGCGGAACACACAGUCAGGUGGGGAGUUUGGGUUGGGCGGCAUAUCUGUGAAACAAUAGCGCAGGUGUCCUAAGGCAAGCUCAAUGAGAACAGAAAUCUCAUGUUGACCAAAAUGGGAAAACCGUGCUUGAUUUUGUUGUCCAGUACGAAUACAAACUGUGAAAGCAUGACCUAUCGAUCCUUUAGGUCUGAGAAACUUUCAGCUAGAGGUGUCAGAAAAGUUACCACAGGGAUAACUGGCUGGUGGCAGCCAAGCGUUCAUAGCGACGUUGCUUUUUGAUCCUUCGAUGUCGGCUCUUCCUAUUAAUGAGAUGCAGAAGUCUCAAAGAGUCGGAUUGUUCACCCGCCAAUAGGAAACGUGAGCUGGGUUUAGACCGUCGUGGGACAGGUUAGUUUUACCCUACUGGUAAAUUUAAUACUGCGACAGUAAUCCAACUUAGUAGGAGAGGAACAGUACUUGGUUAAUGAGGUUAGCUGAAAAGCUAGUGCCGCGACGCUACCAUCUGGUGGAUUAUGACUGUACGCCUCUACUUCAGAACUCACGCUGGCUAAGCACUGCAUAUAAUCGCCUCAUUUGUUACUUACAUAUGUUUUUAGUGUCUUUUGAGCACACAAUCUCAUCAAGGCCCUUUGCGUCACGCGCUGGGCUAUAAUAUCAAUUUCCCACAAUUGAGGCGCUACAUCGAUUGCAGAUGACUUUGCCAGGUAUUGUAGGUGUGAGAGUAGGCUUGUCCUACGAUCGACAAAGAUUCAGCCUUCGUUGU
rnacentral:ncRNA from 1 species